CCUACGGGGGGCAGCAGUGAGGAAUAUUGGUCAAUGGACGAGAGUCUGAACCAGCCAAGUAGCGUGAAGGAUGACUGCCCUAUGGGUUGUAAACUUCUUUUAUAUGGGAAUAAAAUGUUCCACGUUUGGGAUUUUGUAUGUACCAUAUGAAUAAGGAUCGGCUAACUCCGUGCCAGCAGCCGCGGUAAUACGGAGGAUCCGAGCGUUAUCCGGAUUUAUUGGGUUUAAAGGGAGCGUAGGUGGAUUGUUAAGUCAGUUGUGAAAGUUUGCGGCUCAACCGUAAAAUUGCAGUUGAAACUGGCAGUCUUGAGUACAGUAGAGGUGGGCGGAAUUCGUGGUGUAGCGGUGAAAUGCUUAGAUAUCACGAAGAACUCCGAUUGCGAAGGCAGUUCACUGGACUGCAACUGACACUGAGGCUCGAAAGUGUGGGUAUCAAACAGGAUUAGAUACCCCAGUAGUC
rnacentral:rRNA from 1 species